rnacentral:rRNA from 1 species
CCUACGGGAGGCAGCAGUGGGGGAUAUUGCACAAUCGGGGCAACCCUGAUGCAGCAACGCCGCGUGCGUGAAGAAGUCUUUCGGUAUGUAAAGCUCUAUCAGCAGGGAAGAGAAUGACGGUACCUGACUAAGAAGCCCCGGCUAACUACGUGCAAGCCGCCGCGGUCAUGCGGAGGGGGCGAGCGUUAUCCCGAUUUACUGGGUGUAAAGGGAGCGUAGACGGCGGGUCAAGUCUGAAGUGAAAGCCCGGGGCUUAACCCCGGAACGGCUUUGGAAACUGAGGAGCUAGAGUGCUGGAGAGGUAAGCGGAAUGCCUAGUGUAGCGGUGAAAUGCGUAGAUAUUAGGAGGAACACCAGUGGCGAAGGCGGCUUACUGGACAGUAACUGACGUUGAGGCUCGAAAGCGUGGGGAGCAAACAGGAUUAGAUACCCGGGUAGUC